rnacentral:rRNA from 1 species
AUACGUAGGUGGCAAGCGUUAUCCGGAAUUAUUGGGCGUAAAGAGUGAGCAGCCGGUUAAUUAAGUCUGAGGUUAAAGCGUGGGGCUCAACCCCAUCAAGCCUUGGAAACUGAUUGACUAGAGUACGGGAGAAGUGAAGGGAACUCCAUGUGUAGCGGUGAAAUGCGUAGAUAUAUGGAAGAACUCCAGUGGCGAAGGAGCUUCACUAGCCCAAAACUGACGCUCAGUCACGAAAGCGUGGGUAGCAAAUAGGAUUAGAUACCCUAGUAGUCCACGCUGUAAACGAUGACAAAUAAAUAUUGCCGCGAGGCAGUGUUGAAGCUAACGCAUUAAGUGGUCCGCCUGGGGAGUACGGUCGCAAGACUGAAACUUAAAGGAAUUGACGGGG